AAAAGUUAAAGACCAAAGCAAGAGAGAGGAGACUGUGUGUAAGAGAGGAACAGAAAAGAGAGCCAAAGCCAAGUCAUGUCGGCUUCGACCGAACAUUGACGAUUUAUACACUUUAUAUAUAGAGAGAGAGAAGAGAAGAAGCCGAAGAAGGAGAAGAAGAGAGAGAGAGGCCACUGUGUGUAUAUGAUUUUCGAUCCAGUCGGUAUUUGUUCAUUGAAGCCCUAACUUGCUGUUGCUGUUUUUGGAUCCUACGGAUUUGAAGAGGUCAAGAAAAGAUUGACUUUGCUGAUCCCUGAGGACUUGUGGUUUUGUUAUGGCAUUCACUAGCACCAAUCAUACUCCUGUUGGACAUCCUCAUACAGGAGGAUGCAAUGAUGCUCUGUACAAAGAACUAUGGCAUGCCUGUGCUGGACCUCUUGUCAACCUUCCUCGUGAUGGGGAGCGGGUUUAUUAUUUUCCACAAGGUCACAUGGAACAGCUUGAAGCAUCAAUGCAUCAAGGGUUGGAGCAGCAAAUGCCUUCAUUCAAUCUUCCAUCAAAAAUUCUUUGUAAAGUAGUCAAUGUUCAGCGAAGGGCUGAACCUGAAACUGAUGAAGUUUAUGCACAAAUUACCCUGCUUCCAGAGCCAGAUCAAAGUGAGGUUACUAGCCCUGAUCCUCCACUGCCAGAACCUGAAAGAUGCACAAUUCAUUCAUUUUGUAAGACGCUUACUGCUUCUGACACAAGCACUCAUGGUGGUUUCUCUGUUCUUCGAAGGCAUGCGGAUGAUUGUUUGCCUCCCCUGGAUAUGUCCCAGCAGCCACCUUGGCAAGAAUUGGUUGCCACUGAUUUGCAUGGCAAUGAAUGGCAUUUCCGACAUAUUUUUCGGGGUCAACCUAGACGCCACCUGCUCACAACCGGGUGGAGUGUCUUUGUUAGUUCAAAAAAGUUAGUGGCAGGCGAUGCAUUCAUCUUUUUGAGGGGAGAAAAUGGAGAACUUCGUGUUGGAGUAAGGAGACUUAUGAGACAGCAGAUUAAUAUGCCAUCUUCUGUUAUAUCUAGCCAAAGCAUGCAUCUUGGGGUUCUUGCCACUGCAUCUCAUGCCAUUGCGACAGGAACUCUUUUUU
rnacentral:misc_RNA from 1 species